CUAAAGCCUGAUGGUUCCUGUCCCAAGGAGUUUCCUGCUUAUAUUCAGAGGGAUUAUAGUGCAAUUCUCUACUUAAACCAUGAGUUUGAGGGUGGUGAGUUUUUCUUUGCUCACAAGAAUAAAUCUGCACAGGUGAAUGUCAGUCCCAAGUGUGGAAGCGG